UGCCUGCAGAGAGUUYGAUCCUGGCUCAGGAUGAACGCUUGUGGUAGGCUUUAACACAUGCAAGUCGACGAUUUAUUAAAUUUUUAUUUAAUAAAAGUGGCGAACGGGUGAGUAAUACAUAAGAACUUACUUUUUGGAUAGGUAUAGUUUAAAGAAAUUUAAAGUAAUCCCUAAUAUUGCUUUUAUUUUUAAAAGUGAAACCGAGAAAAAGGCUUAUGUCUGAUUAGCUAGUUGGUAAGAUAAUAGCUUACCAAGGCGACAAUCAGUAGUUGGUCUGAGAGGAUGAUCAGCCACAUUGGGACUGAGAUACGGCCCAAACUCCUACGGGAGGCAGCAGUGAGGAAUAUUCCGCAAUGAGCGAAAGCUUGACGGAGCCAUACCACGUGACCGAAGAAGGCUAAGUCGUAAAGGUCUUUUCUUAGAAAUGAAAAAAAUGACAGUAUCUAAGGAAUAAGUAUCGGCUAACUCUGUGCCAGCAGCCGCGGUAAUACAGAGGAUGCAAGCGUUAUCCGGAUUUACUGGGCGUAAAGAGUCUGUAGGUUGUUUUAAAAGUCAAAUGUUAAAGAUUAAGGCUCAACCUUAAAAAAGUGUUUGAAACUUUAAAACUAGAGAUCAAUAGAGGUAGAGGGUAUUUCUGGUGAAGCGGUGAAAUGCUUAGAUAUCAGAAAGACCAUCAAAGGCGAAGGCACUCUGCUGGGUUGCUUCUGACACUGAGAGACGAAAGCUAGGGUAGCAAAUAGGAUUAGAUACCCUAGUAGUCCUAGCUGUAAACGAUGGGAACUAGAUAUUAAAGAAUUUUUUAAUAUCUAAGCUAACGCAUUAAGUUCCCCGCCUGGGAAGUACAGUCGCAAGACCGAAACUUAAAGGAUUUGGCGGGAGCUUACACAAUUGGUGGAGCAUGUGGUUUAAUUCGAUGAUACACGAAGAACCUUACCGAGGCUUGACAUAACUAUUUAAUUAUUUUUUAAUAAAAAUAAUAUAAUUAUGUAAACUAAUUACAAUAGUUACAGGUGGUGCAUGGUUGUCAAGUUCGUGUUGUGAAACAUUGAGUUCAGUCUCGUAACGGACGGAACCCUAAUUCUUUAUUAUAAUUAUUAAAUUUUAGAUUUUUUAUGAAGAAUACGUACUUUUUAAUAAUACUUUAGUUAUUAUUAUGGGUAGGAAGCCUAGGAUUUCGACAAAUCAUUAUGCUCCUUACGCCUCGGGCUACACAUGUGCUACAAUGGUUAACUCAAUAUAUUAUUAUUUUCAAUGUUAAUCAAAGUUCGAAUUAUAAACUGAAACUCGUUUAUAUGAAGUAGGAAUCAAUAGUAAUCGCAAGUCAGCUAUAUUGCGGUGAAACGUCACUGAGCUCUGUACAGACCGCCCGUCACACCUUGGAAAUUGAUUUUAUUUAAAAAUAAUUUAUACAAACAUUUGAAAAAAUGGCAAAAAUUAUUCAARAUGAAAUGGAUAACUAAGGUGAAGUCGUAACAAGGUAGCCGUACUGGAAGGUGNGGNUGGAUCACCUCCUUG
rnacentral:rRNA from 1 species